CAACAAGCUCUAGUUCAGCACUCACGCGGUUACUGUGCCGAAUACAUAAUAAAAAUAAGCACAAAAUCAGAAAACACAAGGGAAACGAUAAAGCUCACUGCACAGAGCAUAGGUGAUGUUCCCAAGCUCAAUCAGUGUCAGCUUUUUAUAUACACUUGUGGGGAUUAAGGGAGGCGCCAGCGCCAUUGCGCGGGCUUCACCUGUUCUGCCAUCCCCUCCGCCUAUCCCCGCCCGCUCCCAACCGGUUCCAGCGGUGGCGCUCCACACGCGGUGGCUCGUGGUUAGGGCGGGGCGCUGACGUCACUGCGCGGCCGCGCUUCGGCUGCUAGUUACUGAGCGUGGCUCUCUUACUUCCGGGACCAGCGCAUGGUACGAACAUGCUUUCUUCUUGUCCACCAACACCUUUGCGACUAUGACUUGAGCUCGCGCACGGUGCCUUUGCCCGUGCGGGGAGCGCGUACUUUGUGCUGAUCCUUUGUGCUGAUCCGACGAGCGGUGCCUAGUGCUCACGCGAGGUCACACCACACUGAGCCACACUUGCCGACAGCCAAAGGAGAUUGCCCGAGCCCUCGCGCCAGUUGACCCAUUGGUUAUCGCCAGAACAAGUAGCAUGGUCACUGGGACUUUUCCUAGCGGCGUGUCCCAGCUUGAGCCUGUGUUCUCGCAGCGAUGUGCUAUAGGCGGCCGUUUCUGUAUUUUCGCUCUUGGUGCAGGACCUUUUUGGUUCCCCGCC